rnacentral:lncRNA from 1 species
AUAAAUGAAUAUGAAAACUCAUAGAAGCUCUUACUGUGCAUAUUUCUUAAAAUGGAAAUAUUUCUUCAAUGACUUAGGAUAUGAGCAAGAAGCUAUUCAGAGGUCAAACUGUUUUUCAAGUACUCCUGGCCCAGAGUUCUGUGAGGCAUCAACUAGAGGACUAUGGCUUUCUCACCUUCAAAUAUGAAUGGCUAAAGUAUGAGUUGCUUGCAAUACUAAUUACUAUGGAAUUGAAGUUUGAAGGCCAUUCUGUGGACCUUGCUCUAUCUGGCAGCUUUCUCCAGGUCAGUGCUACCAUCAUACCAUCAGUGCUGGAAAUUUCUAUGGGCACCACUCCUAUGAUGGAGACUGCAUCUGUGAUAUCUCCCCCUGGAGGGGCUUGCACAAUCUUCCCAGGGAGAAAAAAAAAAGGAAAAAAGAAAAAUAAAAAGGAA